GGAAAAAAAAAAUAAUAUUGAAGAGUUGAGGUUUGUAUUCACGUAAAAGAGUCCGCCCGGAACAGCAGACGGGUAGCCGACCCACUCCAUAUCCAUUGAACAUCAUCUGUUCGAUAUCUGUUCAACCUGCGCAAAUGUGAACAUCUAACAGCUGUGUGCCAUGGGAUGUUGGCCAUCAUUAAAGAGGACCGUUCUUUAGGUAGUAGCUGCUGUAUAGACGUAUCAGCAACAGGAACGAAAUAGAGUGAAAAAAAACAAAAACAAACUACUACCUGUGUUCCACUGAUUGCGCCAUUACCGUUCACCAAAGAAAGCAGCAACGGCGAAUACAUUUAAAUGUGGCUACUUUGAAUGACAGGCUUGAUUUUGUCCCAAUUUCUUUCUGCAUUAACCAAGACCGUUUGAAUGACGAUCAAGUUCGUGUCCCCAUUCUCUCCUUAUGGCAACGGCCCUCUAUCAGCUGGUUUUGCGCUUUUUUCUAAUGAGUUUCUGGCCAACUCUUUAUGAAUAUGUGUGUCAAAAGCCUCAAAGCUCCUGAAAAUCAUCUUGACUUUUCGGGGUUUUAUUUCUUUCUUUUAAUUUUUAUAUAAUUUUUUCUUUUUCAUUUCCUAUUUCUUUCUUCUCCUUUUUAAAAACUGAUUUUAUUUCAUUCCGUUUCAUUAAUUUUCUCGUGAGCCCCAUUCCGCAUGCAUAAUACCGACUUUAGGAUGAAGAGGGGCGGGCAGAUUAUUUUUUCCCCCUCCUUUGUGCAGCUCGUGUUGCAAACGAAAAUUCCCGUUUUUAUGAGUGUUUGACUUGGGUUCACGUUUUCCAUGUUUGCCCACCUCAAUAUCCAUAUCGCAAAAAAAUAUGGAAUAUAUAUAUCCUUGA